AGUAAGGUCAGCUAAAUAAGCUUUUGGGCCCAUACCCCAAAUAUGUUGGUUAAAGUCCCUCCCUUACUG
rnacentral:tRNA from 1 species